CAUUCCCAUGGAGAGCUCAUUUUCAAUGCAAGGGAUGGCUCUGAACACACACGUGAUUAGGACAUGCAGACAUCACAGGAAUGCUUCUGUCUAAGGUCUCUGAUUCCUGUGCAUAUAGGAGGUUACUAUCUUGGAAUCAAUGAGUUGACAUUCUCUUGCAUAUACAUAGGACAUGAAGAACAACAGUGCCUACUACUGCGCAGAGCGUGAGUGGCCACUACUGGAAAAAUCACCAUGUCUUCUUCUAGACUGGGGCUCCGUGUGGCUUCUUGUUUACUAAAUAUUUCAGAAGCCAGAAGAAAAUCCAUGGUUGAGAACAUAGCAAAAACAGCUCUUCUUGAAAAAUAAUGCUUGUUACAGCUUCUACAGGACUCCAGGAUGCAAGAUAGAUCUCUUAUGUGCACAUGUGCUCUUUCUGAAAGCCCACAGAAGCUCAGCAAUGCACUUAUUCACUUUGGAGGG